UACAGAGGUCCCAAGCGUUGUUCGGAUUCAUUGGGCGUAAAGGGUGCGUAGGCGGCGCGGUAAGUCGGGUGUGAAAUCUCGGGGCUUAACUCCGAAACUGCAUUCGAUACUGCCGUGCUUGAGGACUGGAGAGGAGACUGGAAUUUACGGUGUAGCGGUGAAAUGCGUUGAGAUCGGAAGGAACGCCCGUGGCGAAAGCGAGGUCCUGGACGUCUACUGACGCUGAGACGCGAAAGCUAGGGGAGCAAACGGG
rnacentral:rRNA from 1 species